rnacentral:misc_RNA from 1 species
GAUGAAGAACGCAGCGAAAUGCGAUACGUAAUGUGAAUUGCAGAAUUCAGUGAAUCAUCGAAUCUUUGAACGCAUAUUGCGCUCUCUGGUAUUCCGGAGAGCAUGCUUGUUUGAGUAUCAGUAAACACCUCAACUCCCCUUUCUUUUUUUGAAAUGGGGGCUGGACUUGAUUGAUCCCACCGCUUUUCUCACCGAAAAGUGGCGGGUUACUUGAAAUGCAGGUGCAGCUGGACUUUUCUCUGAGCUAAAAGCAUAUCUAUUUAGUCUGCCUAAAAAACAGAUUAUUACCUUUGCUGCAGCUAACAUAAAGGAGAUUAGUUCUUGUGCUGACUGAUGCAGGAUUCACAGAGACAGCUUCGGCUGGCCUUUGUAAACUCGAUCUCAAAUCAAGUAAGACUACCCGCUGAACUUAAGCAUAUCAAUAAGCGGAGGA